AUCCCUUGACAUCCUGCGAACUUUCUAGAGAUAGAUUGGUGCCUUCGGGAACGCAGUGACAGGUGCUGCAUGGCUGUCGUCAGCUCGUGUCGUGAGAUGUUGGGUUAAGUCCCGCAACGAGCGCAACCCUUAUCAUUAGUUGCUAACAUUUAGUUGAGAACUCUAAUGAGACUGCCGGUGAUAAACCGGAGGAAGGCGGGGACGACGUCAAGUCAUCAUGGCCCUUAUGGGAUGGGCUACACACGUGCUACAAUGGGGGGUACAAAGAGCAGCAAUACGGUGACGUGGAGCGAAUCUCAAAAAUGCCUCCCAGUUCGGAUUGUAGUCUGCAACUCGACUACAUGAAGUUGGAAUCGCUAGUAAUCGUAGAUCAGCUAUGCUACGGUGAAUACGUUCCCGGGUCU
rnacentral:rRNA from 1 species